CUCGUUCGUAUUUUUGCUUGUUUACAGCAGUUACUGAUUUUCGGACUUGUACGAAAAACAUCGCUCGGUCGCCACAGACUCAAUAUUUUUUCCAAGUUUGGAUUUUUUAUACUGUAACUAGCUUAAAAAUGAUUGAAGAAGCUCCAGAUCCCAAGGAAGUGUCGAAUUUUUACUUCAAGCAGUUGAAAACUCUCAAAUUAGCAAAAGCGAAUGAAGUUGUGCCCCAAGAAUGUGUCAAUAUUAUAGCUGCAUCUAGCAAGUAUGGAUUGC